UACGGGGGGGGCAAGCGUUGUUCGGAAUUACUGGGCGUAAAGGGCUCGUAGGCGGCCAACUAAGUCGGAUGUGAAAUCCCCAGGCUCAACCUGGGAACUGCAUCCGAUACUGGAUGGCUUGAAUUCGGGAGAGGGAUGCAGAAUUCCAGGUGUAGCGGUGAAAUGCGUAGAUAUCGGGAGGAACACCUGUGGCGAAAGCGGCGCACUGGACCACAACUGACGCUGAGGCGCGAAAGCUAGGGGAGCAAACAGG
rnacentral:rRNA from 1 species